rnacentral:rRNA from 1 species
UACGUAGGUGACAAGCGUUGUCCGGAUUUACUGGGCGUAAGAGCGCGCAGGCUGUCGAUCCAGUCGAGUGUGAAAGCCCCCGGCUCAACUGGGGAGGGUCAUUCGAUACUGAUCGACUCGAAGGCAGGAGAGGGUAGUGGAAUUCCCGGUGUAGUGGUGAAAUGCGUAGAUAUCGGGAGGAACACCAGUGGCGAAGGCGACUACCUGGCCUGUUCUUGACGCUGAGGCGCGAAAGCUAGGGGAGCAAACGGG